rnacentral:lncRNA from 1 species
UGCAUUUCUCUCCCCACAGAUCCAGGAGCUUCCAGAACUUAAUGAUAGGCCUGACAACCGACAUGCAGGUGGAGAGGAAAGACAGCUUUAUCAAACCAGCUGUUUACAUCCAGAUGUUUGGGAACAUCUGGUGUGGAGAUGAAACAUUUUCCACUUCUACCAGGAGAUGCUAAUGACGCUGGCAAAAAUAAAUCUUCUUCAACAAAAUCAAAACAGAGCCAUGUGGCAGUCCACACGCUAUACAACCUCAAAGGCAAGAAAAUGACUACAGAUCCAAGUUCCUUCCAGAUAUCAGCCAUGGCUUCUGAAAGGUUCUCAUGAGCUACAAGUCCCCUUGAGAAAAAUGCCCUCAAGACGUGUGUCUUUGUACCCAGCAUCCCGGUUCUCCCCCAUUCUCCCCUCACAGAAUCCUCUAUAAUACCAAUAUUAAACACGGCUUUGGAGAAGUUUUAAAACCUGACACUGUGUUGUUGAUUCAGAUUCUUAGAAAA